rfam:Picea glauca, whole genome shotgun sequence.
ACAUGCUUACAACAUAGCAUUAAUGCAUUGGAUCCCAUUAGAAAUCUUCAGUUAAGCAUGCUUGUGCUAGAGUUUUAUAGGGAUGGGUGACCACCCGGGAAUUCCUAGUGUUUUACAUGCC